rnacentral:rRNA from 1 species
AUACGGAGGGGGCUAGCGUUGUUCGGAAUUACUGGGCGUAAAGCGCGCGUAGGCGGAUCGUUAAGUCAGGGGUGAAAGCCCGGAGCUCAACUCCGGAACCGCCCUUGAUACUGGCGAUCUCGAGUCCGGGAGAGGUGAGCGGAAUUCCUAGUGUAGAGGUGAAAUUCGUAGAUAUUAGGAGGAACACCAGUGGCGAAGGCGGCUCACUGGCCCGGUACUGACGCUGAGGUGCGAAAGCGUGGGGAGCAAACAGGAUUAGAAACCCUAGUAGUCC